UCCAGGUAUCUACUACCCUUUCUAUAUCACUGUUACUGCUCCCACUGGAAGGCUAUUCCAGGUAUCUACUACCCUUUCUAUAUCCCUGUUACUGCUCCCACUGGAAGGUUAUUCCAGGUAUCUACUACCCUUUCUAUAUCACUGCUCCCACUGGAAGGCUAUUCCAGGUAUCUACUACCCUUUCUACAUCACUGUUACUGCUCCCACUGGAAGGCUAUUCCAGGUAUCUACUACCCUUUCUAUAUCACUGUUACUGCUCCCACUGGAAGGCUAUUCCAGGUAUCUACUACCCUUUCUAUAUCACUGUUACUGCUCCCACUGG